AAUAGAUACCCCGGUAGUCCACGCCCGUAAACGUUGGGAACUAGAUGUGGGGUCCAUUCCACGGAUUCCGUGUCGCAGCGUAACGCAUUAAGUUCCCCCGCCUGGGGAGUACGGCCGCAAGGCUAAAACUCAAAGGAAUUGACGGGGGCCCGCACAAGCGGCGGAGCAUGCGGAUUAAUUCGAUGCAACGCGAAGAACCUUACCAAGGCUUGACAUAUACCUGAAAAGGCUGGAAACAGUCUCCCCCGCAAGGCAGGUAUACGAGGUGGUUGCAUGGUUGUCGUCAGCUCGUGUCGUGAGAUGUUGGGUUAAGUCCCGCAACGAGCGCAACCCUCGUUCUAUGUUGCCAGCACGUAAUGGUGGGAACUCAUAGGAGACUGGCCGGGGUCAACUCGGAGGAAGGUGGGGAUGACGUCAAAUCAUCAUGCCCCUUAUGUCUUGGGCUUCACGCAUGCUACAAUGGCCGGUACAAAGGGCUGCAACGUACCGCAAGGGUGGAGCGAAUCCCGAAAAAGCCGGUCUCAGUUCGGAUUGAGGUCUGCAACUCGACCU
rnacentral:rRNA from 1 species